CCUACGUGUGGCAGCAGUGAGGAAUAUUGGUCAAUGGACGAGAGUCUGAACCAGCCAAGUAGCGUGAAGGAUGACUGCCCUAUGGGUUGUAAACAUCUUUUAUAUGGGAAUAAAAUGUUCCACGUGUGGGAUUUUGUAUGUACCAUAUGAGUAAGGAUCGGCUAACUCCGUGCCAGCAGCCGCGGUAAUACGGAGGAUCCGAGCGUUAUCCGGAUUUAUUUGGUUUAAAGGGAGCGUAGGUGGAUUGUUAAGUCAGUUGUGAAAGUUUGAGGCUCAACCGUAAAAUUGCAUUUGAAACUGGCAGUCUUGAGGACAGUAGAGGUGGGCGGAAUUCGUGGUGUAGCGGUGAAAUGCUUAGAGAUCACGAAGAAGGCCGAUGGCGAAGGCAGCUCACUGGACUGCAACUGACACUGAGGCGCGAAAGUGUGGGUAUCAAACAGGAUUAGAUACCCUAGUAGUC
rnacentral:rRNA from 1 species